AUUGAACGCUGGCGGCAGGCCUAACACAUGCAAGUCGAACGAGUGGCGGACGGGUGAGUAAUGUAUGGGGAUCUGCCCGAUGGAGGGGGAUAACUACUGGAAACGGUGGCUAAUACCGCAUCCCAUAGGAUGAGCCCAUAUGGGAUUAGGUAGUAGGUGGGGUAAAGGCUCACUAAGGCGACGAUCUCUAGCUGGUCGGAGAGGAUGCUCAGCCACACGGGGACUGAGACACGGCCCAGACUCCGACGGGAGGCAGCAGUGGGGAAUAUUGCGCAAUGGGGGCAACCCUGAUGCAGCCAUGCCGCGUGUAUGAAGAAGGCCUUAGGGUUGUAAAGUACUUUCAGCGGGGAGGCGUUACCCGCAGAAGAAGCACCGGCUAACUCCGUGCCAGCAGCCGCGGUAAUUC
rnacentral:rRNA from 1 species